rnacentral:sRNA from 1 species
UCUUAAUUGAAAAAGCUGCACCUUGUCAAGGUUUUAAACCUUGACAAGGUGCAGCUUUUAUUUGAAAUAUA